UUAAACAGAGCUUCUUUAAUUACCAAACAUAGGUAGGCUCAGACGGACCGGCAGAUUCCGACAGGACAAGACAAGGUUACAGCAAACAUGACGACAGUCUGGUUCAGGCAUGAAACACAACAAACAAGAAUCCGACAAGGACAGUCUGGUUCAGGCAUGAAACACAACAAACAAGAAUCCGACAAGGACAGGAGCAGGAACAGAGAGAGAUAUAGGGACCUAAUCAGAGGGAAAAAAGGGAACAGGUGGGAAAAGGGGUGACGAGGUGGUUAGGAGGAGACAAGGCACAGCUGGGGGAAAGAGGAGGAGAAAAGGUAACCUAACAACGACCAGCAGAGGGAGACAGGAUGAAGGGAAAGGACAGAGACAAGACACAACAUGACAGUACAUGACACCUGACCUCAAACCCAUCAAACAGCUUUGGGAUGAAUUGGAACACUGAACCCUCCUGUAGGUUUUAACUCCAACCCUGUUCCUGGAGAGCUACCCUCCUGUAGGUUUUAACUCCAACCCCGUUCCUGGAGAGCUACCCUCCUGUAGGUUUUAACUCCAACACUGUUUCUGGAGAGCUACCCUCCUGUAGGUUCUUCCUCCAACCCUGGGUUGGAGUGAAAACCUAAUGGAGGGUGGCUCUCCAGGAACAGGGUUGGAGAGCCCGGCAAUAGCUAGUACCAUUCUCAAAACACGACACAUUCUAACAAAACACCAGUGUUCCGUGGAAACAUGUUUCCUCACAUAACAGUGUUGACUGGAGUGAUUGGUUAAAGAGACACAUCACAACUUCUGAUUGAUGCGGGUCAGUGAUUGAUUAAUUUUAAGGUCAAGUAGUGGAGUAGCAUUUAUUGGGGUUCAGUAGCUGUGUUUCUGUAGUUUACAUCAUGGCUUUGACAUGGGGCUCCCGAGUGGCACAGCGCUCUAAGGCACUGCAUCUCAGUGCUUGAGGCGUCACUACAGACACUCUGGUUUGAAUCCAGGCUGUAUCACAACCGGCCGUGAUUGGGAGUCCCAUAGGGCGGAGCACAAUUGGCCCAGCAUCGUCCGGGUUUGGCCGAUGUAGGCCGUCAUUGUAAAUAAGAAUUUGUUCCUCUCUCCUGUCCUCUCUCCCGUUCUCUCCUCUCCUGUUCUCUCUCCUCUCCUCUCCUCUCCUGUUCUCUCUCCUGUCCUCUCUCCUCUCUCCUCUCCUCUCCUGUUCUCUCCUCCCUCCCCCUCACUCCUUUCUUUCUCUACCAGCUGUCCCAGUCCACUCCUGUUUUACUAGUGUGUGUGUGUGUGUGUGUGUGUGUGUGUGUGUGUGUGUGUGUGUGUGUGUGU
rnacentral:lncRNA from 13 species